rnacentral:lncRNA from 1 species
UAAGGUGAAGAAGAUAGUACUUGCAUUGAGUCGAGGAACUAAUCAAGCUACGAGGAGUCAUAUUAUAUUGAGGAUUAAAUCUUUUGUUGAAGUGACUUAAAGCCAUGAAUUAAACUCAUAUGUAUGGAAAUGGGUCAAGUCACAUGCUCAAAGUUAGUUUGCUCAAAGAGAUGAGACAAAGGUGUGAUUGCAACCCCUUAUGAAGAGAUAUUGAGAAGAAAUGAC